GCAUUGGUGGUUCAUUUCUAGAAUGCUCACCUUCCAUGUGGGAGACCUGGGUUGGAUUCCCGGCCAGUGCA
rnacentral:tRNA from 1 species